rnacentral:lncRNA from 1 species
UCGCUAAGUACCCUGGAUGCAAAAUGGUAUAAAUUCUCUGAAGGAUGUAGAGUCUUGAAGGUCCCGGCAGAUCGCUUAGCCCCGUUCAUCUUCGGCGCAAGAGUGCUCGAUCAGUGAGCUAUUACGCACUCUUUCAAGGGUGGCUGCUUCUAGGCAAACCUCCUGGCUGUCUCUGCACCCCUACCAUCAAUAAGAAAACCUUUAGGCUUGUUAUCCAG